rnacentral:rRNA from 1 species
GCGAAGUCGCAAGACGAUGUAUAUGGACUGACGCCUGCCCGGUGCUGGAAGGUUAAAAGGAGAGGUGAGAGCUUUGAAUUGAAGCCCCAGUAAACGGCGGCCGUAACUAUAACGGUCCUAAGGUAGCGAAAUUCCUUGUCGGGUAAGUUCCGACCUGCACGAAUGGCGUAACGACUUCCCCACUGUCUCCAGCAUCGACUCAGCGAAAUUGAAUUGCCCGUGAAGAUGCGGGCUACCCGCGGUUAGACGGAAAGACCCCGUGCACCUUUACUACAGCUUUGCAUUGGACUUUGAACCUAUUUGUGUAGGAUAGGUGGGAGACUUUGAAGCGUGAACGCUAGUUUGCGUGGAGUCAUCCUUGAAAUACCACCCUGGUAUGUUUGGAGUCCUAACCCAGGUCCGUAAUCCGGAUCGGGGACAAUGUAUGGUGGGUAGUUUGACUGGGGCGGUCUCCUCCCAAAUAGUAACGGAGGAGCACGAAGGUUAGCUAAUCACGGUCGGACAUCGUGAGGUUAGUGCAAUGGCAUAAGCUAGCUUAACUGCGAGACAGACACGUCGAGCAGGUACGAAAGUAGGUCUUAGUGAUCCGGUGGUUCUGUAUG